rnacentral:lncRNA from 1 species
AUUGGAUAUGAGAUCAGAAAGCUUUUACAAUUGAAAUCAAUUACUCGGUUAUUACAGCAUUAAACACCAUUUGAUGAUCUUUUCUGAUCACGAACAGCCACUUAUUGGAAUUUCUGACAAUUUCCACCCAUGGCACUUUUCAUCUCAUUGUCGGCUUCAACCCGCCCCUGGUUCCAUAAUGGACAAGAAGAGAGAAGAAUUUACAGAAAACGUCUCUGCCCUGUGCCAGCAGACGGUCCCUGGGACGAGUCCAGCACCACAGACACACCACCGUGGGCCUCCGAGGGCCGUAUGACCCGCAAUGCCGCGCGC